rnacentral:rRNA from 1 species
UACGUAGGUGGCAAGCGUUGUCCGGAUUUACUGGGCGUAAAGAGCGCGCAGGCGGUUCUGCAAGUCAGGCGUGAAAUCCCCGGGCUUAACCUGGGAAUGGCGCUUGAAACUACGGGACUGGAGUAUGGCAGAGGGAGGUGGAAUUCCACGUGUAGCAGUGAAAUGCGUAGAUAUGUGGAGGAACACCGAUGGCGAAGGCAGCCCCCUGGGCCGACACUGACGCUCAGGCACGAAAGCGUGGGGAGCAAACAGG